GUAUUAGCGUGCGAUCGGAAUUCGCGUGAAACUUCAAAUAAACUGCAACAACGUCUCAACGAGAUAGAAUAUUGGCUAAAAACACGAAGAACUGGAAUCAAUACUACGAAAUCUACACGCGUGAAAUUCAUCGUAAAAAGCGAGCAUGCCCUCCAGUAAAAUUAAAUUACUAUCACAGCUGCUAUACUUCGACAAAAAAUUAUCACGGAAAGCGCACGUCCGAAACGCAAGAAAAUAAAGCGAUUGAACGAACGGCGGAAAACUUUGGUGGUUGAUCGACAAAAAAUCACAGCUAAGAACAACGCUAACGACAAACUUGCAACAAACUGAGGAUACGCGAAACUAUUUUCAAGCCCGUGUGAAAUAUACGCCUGUCGAUUAGGGGAGCACAGCCGCGAAUUCCGAUAAAAUCGAUAGAGACACGACAAAACAAAAAUUUGAGAGGCGUUUUGAAAACAGAUCGGUACGUGCCGAACAAACAAACAAAGAAAGAAACCGGUAUAUCCACCGUAAACUAAGAAAUCAGCAGACACAGCGGGUUAUAUCAACAACGGCUGAAGACUCGUCCCAACAACCUGGCUACGAAAUUACUGGACAUCGCGAGAGAAUACGAAAAAUUAAAGACAUCUUCUACGUCUACCAAAUAGAUUUAAUCACAUAAGCUGAGUAACAUCACGACGAUACGUCUCUGGGUGUGUUCAUAUUCGUGUCGACUUAAGUCACCGACCUGUGCUGAUUAUCGUCGUACGAUAAAUCCCAUAUACGCAAAUUAUAACAAUAAAGAGAGGAAGAAAAUAAAGAAUGGGAUUGUAGAUAGGAGAAGAAAAGAGCGAAAAACCGAUAGUGGAGAACGCACGAUGAAGGUAGAUCGUCUUGCGAAGAAGCUUGACGCGGUAACGUUCGAACGGCGCAUAUAUCCGUGGCGUUAAAAGGAGCCUCCUACCUUUUUACUUUAUUUCCGUACGUAAUCAAUAGGCGUUCGAUCGGGUCGGUACAUUUCCGAAGUGGCGUCUCAACGUUCAGAGGAGCGCCUCGCCUCCUUUAUCGAGGUUGUCGGCGUAGGAACGAGCGAGGAAAGGAUACAUAUAGGGAGCGGGAGCAAGAGGGAAAUUGGCAGAAGUGUGUAGACCACUACAUCUUCUUCAAGAAUCACAGAUAUCGUAUAUAAAUAACCAACCGCUUAUUUAUCAUGCUCUAUCGAGAAAGGAACGGAAAAGAAGAGGUGGAGGCAAAAGGCCAUUUUUAUACGAUCGUUUACCACGGGUACUUUUCUUCGCAUAAUAGAAGCUCACCUUCAGAGACGAAAGAAAAGUCGCUUUAAUGAAUGAAAUUCUCGCUGCAAACAAAAUCGAUGCUCGGAAUUUAAGGCCACAGUGAUAAGAUACGAUAAGUUAUAUAGUUCGUUCUUCGUAGGGAAGCAAUUUUUCAAUCGAAUAUGCCGAUAACUAUUCUCGUGGUAAUAAAAUUGUUUCAUUUGAAAAUAUCGCUUGUCAUAAUAUUAUUUAAGUCCUUAGCCUUUAAUAAAAAUUCGGAGAUACAAUACCCAUUUUUACGAGGCCUCAUAUUUUUGCACAUAAUAGCUUCUUCCCCCUUUCCAGCGUCAUAUUGUGCCACAUUAAAAUACUCCCUCUUAGCUAUGGAAUAACAUAAAAUCAGAAAAUAAAAAUGAAUUCGCCAUAUUUUCGUCUUAUGGCUUUCAAUUUUCCCAAACUUUCUAACAUUUAAGGAACCUUUUAUCGUCGUCUUCUUGCACGAUUGAACUAACAUUAUUAUCCUUCUUUUGCAAAUAACGAUGAAAAUGUAACGAAGCUUAUAUUUAGAACGAUACUUAAUUUUAAUUCGUGAAAUUGAAGCCUAUUAAGCACGAGCUGCGUGUGAAGUUUCAACGUCCUUAAUCUGGUACACUGUUUAAACACCGAGUACUACAAUACACAACAUAUAUAAGCACUAAAAAUGACAAAAAUAAAAAGAUAAUCAGGUAAAGUAUAAAAAUCGUUGUUCUCUGCGCCUGGUUUAUUUACGCUGCUUCCUACAGUUUUAAUUACGUCGCAUCCGAUUAUAGCGUUUAUAUGAUAAAGUAGCGGCGAUUAUUAUAAGUCAGCAAGCAGACAUACGUAUGCAUAAAGGACCUUUGUAUUCACAUAAAUGGAGAACAUAUGCAACGUCCAAUGAUAAAGGAAAUUAAUAUUUCAGUUAACAUCUGGUAAAUUCGAAAAUUACUUCUGAAUCUAUGUUCGUUAUAAGCUUUUACUCUACUUGAAUAAGUAUCCUAAAGUUCGGACGGAGCUUUUUCGUUGCGCUGUAUUUUCGAAGAGGACAGAUUGCCUCGGGGUAACUCCACGCUUCGAUAUUGAUAAGAUUCCAAGUUCACUGGAAAGGUUAUUGGGAGAAAAAGUGAAUUAUAUUCGGAAUCAGAGCAUGUACAAUACCAUACAAAACGAUUGGAUGUUUCCAAAAGAAAUUGACUAAGUUCGUUCGAAUAGUCGUAAACCGUAAUGUUCAUCGAUGUCUUCUGAAACUGUUAUAUCGCGUAGAAUAAAUUGUAAGUACGCGAAAUUAUUGCUACCUCCUUCUAUCUCUCCCUCUCUCUCUACUCAGAUUAUCUUCUAUUAAUAAUAUUUUCUAUAAUCAAUGUAAAACAUAUUUACUCUGUUAAAGGAUGGCGAGUGAGCUUUAUAUAUAACGAACCACUUGUUUAUCGAACAUUUCUAAUAAAAUCAACAACGUUAAUAUACGUGCAUUUUCAUACUAUUUAUUCGAAAUAGUUGGGUUUCUUAAAUUGAGGAAAUCAAAGAAUUUAUACGACAAUUUAUAGCGGACUCGAAGUUAUAUUAGUACAAUUAGAAUAUUCUUAUGCCACUACGGAGAGAGCUCUUGGAAUAUUUAAAAAUCUAAACGCGUUGUAUGUAUAAAUUAGCCAUUUAAUGAAAAUAUUACUUUAUCAAACGGAUGACAGCCACUGACUAAUUUGAUUUAUUUUCCUUCGUUAUUUCUUGACGGUAUUCUCGAUAUUCCUCGUAACUUUAUCAAGAAAUUUCAUUGCGUAUCUUUCGCGUUCGACGUUGUUGCGAGGGCGCGCGAAGAAUCUUCUUCGAAACGAAAUGAAAAGGGAAAAUAAUGCUCGGCGGGAUAAAUGUGAAAGUUCGAGUUUUAUUUGCUAUCAAGUUUUCGCGGAGGAAUACGCGUUUAUUAAUAACACAACACAUUUUCCUUGAGAAGCGCAGGCAUCGCUUAUAAAUAACCAACUUAUUUGUCGUAG